AGUACAAAUGAUGUGUGUUUCCGCUACUC
rnacentral:sRNA from 1 species